rnacentral:rRNA from 1 species
AUUGAACGCUGGCGGCAGGCUUAACACAUGCAAGUCGAGCGGGGUGAUGGUGCUUGCACUAUCACUUAGCGGCGGACGGGUGAGUAAUGCUUAGGAAUCUGCCUAUUAGUGGGGGACAACAUCUCGAAAGGGAUGCUAACACCGCAUACGUCCUACGGGGGAAAGCAGGGGAUCACUUGUGACCUUGCGCUAAUAGAUGAGCCUAAGUCGGAUUAGCUAGUUGGUGGGGUAAAGGCCUACCAAGGCGACGAUCUGUAGCGGGUCUGAGAGGAUGAUCCGCCAAACUGGGACUGAGACACGGCCCUGACUCCUACGGGAGGCAGCAGUGGGGAAUAUUGGACAAUGGGGGGAACCCUGAUCCAGCCAUGCCGCGUGUGUGAAGAAGGCCUUAUGGUUGUAAAGCACUUUAAGCGAGGAGGAGGCUCUUUUGGUUAAUACCCAGAAUGAGUGGACGUUACUCGCAGAAUAAGCACCGGCUAACUCUGUGCCAGCCGCCGCUGUAA